rnacentral:tRNA from 1 species
GGGGGUGUAGCUCAGUGGUAGAGCACUUGCCCAGCAUGUGUAAGGCCCUGGUUCAAUCCCAGUUACCACCA